rnacentral:ncRNA from 1 species
UCGAUAAAGGCAAACCGUCGGGAACGGCGGGACGAAAAGCCACCGGCCUAAACCCGGAGAUUAAUUCGGGACAGGUAGCGGGGUUACCGAA